ACAUGAAGACGGUAACCUUCACAGCAGAACUAUGACAAAUGCUACGAAAAAUGCGAGUAAUAGAUGCUCAGACUGGAAAAUGCUGCUAUGGCAUUCCCUGCAGUCCACGUUGCUAGGAGAGGAUGAAUUCAGGAGCUGUGGGCUUUCCAGACUUUCAGUCAGCCCCUGUCAACACCCCUUAAAUAACCAGUGGUAAACUGCCUGUCAGAAUGAUGGAGAGCCACUUGAUUCCCAUUUCCUUCUCUAGGGCACAGACUCUCACCUCAUUGCCAGGCUGGCAGGUCCUUCGUCCAGGCAUCAUCUGGCUAUAAACCAGUGGUAUUCUUUCUAUUUGAAAUGGGGUGGUGGUAGUGGUGGUGGGGAGACAUAAAUCCUAAGUGGUUCACACAGGAUGCAAAGUGAUACAAUUUGUGUGUAUGUGAGAGUGUAUAUGAGUUUGGGGGUGGGAGGGCCUUAUUUUGGGAGAAAAUUCUCCCAAAUGUUAGAGUAUUGGGGGCAAAAAUUCUGUUACUCUGAACAAUGUCUGCAUAACAGUGAAAAUCAGAGGGCCGUGAGCAUUGAAAAGUACUGCCAAAAUAAUGGGGUUUGAAUGCGGAUGUGUAUUGAAAAACCCUGAAUCAGGAGGCAGAAAGGAGGGACUUUCAGCUGGUUCACAUGGAAGAGAUAUGAAAUGCUUCAGGCAGUCUGGAAAGGUAGGAAGCAGAUGUGAAAUGAACAGGGGGCAACCUGUUGAGAGCUGUUUUGAUAACUGAGAGAACAGACAUCUCAGUAUGCCUCAAAUAUUGAGCUAGAAAAGAGGCAGCCUAAAGGAGCAUCUAACACAAGCCAAAACAAAACCGAAAUACCUUAAACCAAGCCCAAAAAAAGACAACAGGAAAGAACCUUCCUCCUGGAAAUAUAAAUGUGGUAGAGGGGUUAAUGAUGGUACUGUAUAUCAGGAAUGGAAGGUAGGAGCAGCAGGAUUCAGAAUUCUUGGAGUAGAGGUUCAGUGAAGAAGUCAGCUCACUAAAGGGAACUAGAGUAAUGCUUGCAAGGACCUUGUCUGUCUCACAUGCUGGUAGUUCCAUGGUGGCAGAAGUGGGAUCUGAUGUUCUACAUCUUGCGUAACUAAAAAGGUAGCGUGCACUAAACUUGGAAAGAUCUUAAAUCUGUACCCUGAAAAUUAUCCCACAUUCGUGGAAAAAUUAGUAUGCCUAUUAGUAUUGUCACCAUGCAAGAACUGCACUGGCAAUGAAGACAGUGAUGUAAGAAGACAGAAGUGAGACCAGACACAGGAUCCACUGUCUAAGCAGCUGAUGGGAGAAAUGGCUUCAUGACUGUCCUGAGGCGAUGGUGGUGAGGCAGGAAUUAAACACCUCCCAGGGAUGAAAUGGUUUCACCCUGUAUUGUGUUUCACCUUAAUCAUCUCCAUGAGAACUUCACACAUGUAUUAAAAAAACCCAACAUGACACAUUCGUAAGGUAGUUACUAUCUAUUGUGGAAUUUCAUGUAUUAUAUUUGUGCCCUAAGUUAGCCAUUAUUGUCCCAAUUUUAUAGUUAAGGGAAU